UUUUUUUCUCUGUCUUUCCUAAAAAAUUUCUUCCUUAAUAAACACAGAGACCAUAUUUUGAAACAAAAAUGGCACGCCAACUUGUUGUUCUUGCUUUAGUUUUGAUUGUCCUCGCCGGCGUGGUUUCGCCGACGCCUCAUCCGCCGGUGGUAGCCCUGCAAGUGCACCAGCUGGAGCUUCUACAGGUGGCAGUGCUGCUAGUUCCUCCCCUACUUCUCAGCCUACCACUCCAAGUCUUAGCGGCGAUAUCCCUAUUGAUGAUCCAUAAAAUGAUUGUCAAGAAAAUGCCGACAAAACAUUAAACAAAUUGCCAUUUAAAAACAUGGUGGGAUUUUUGAAAAUAAAUAAUUAGUUCUAUA
rnacentral:lncRNA from 1 species